AGAGGAGUGUAUUGAAGAAGACCAAGAAGAGCAUGUAGAGGAGGUAGAAGAGGCUGUGGAAACCCAAGCAGAAGAACACGAAGAUGAAUCUAAAGAAAAAGAAGGUGGCGAGGGGGAGCGAGAGCAGGAGUCUGGGGAAGG